UAUAGCGGCGAGAGCACGUUGAAUGCCCGGGUCCCCAAUGGUUCACUGAAGGUAAGUAACGUUGCAAGUGGUUGGUAUUCGGAUGGGUGACCAUCUGGGCAAUCGCGGGCUGCUCACU
rnacentral:rRNA from 1 species